rnacentral:rRNA from 1 species
UCUAUCAAGUGUCUGCCCUAUCAAAUGACGAUGGUACGUGAUCUGCCUACCAUGUUAGCAACGGGUAGCGGGGAAUCAGGGUUCGAUUCCGGAGAGGGAGCAUGAGAAACGGCUACCACAUCCAAGGAAGGCAGCAGGCGCGCAACUUACCCACUCCUGGCACGGGGAGGUAGUGACGAAAAAUAACAAUACGGAACUCUUUUGAGGCUCCGUAAUUGGAAUGAGUACACUUUAAACCCUUUAACGAGGAUCUAUUGGAGGGCAAGUCUGGUGCCAGCAGCCGCGGUAAUUCCAGCUCCAAUAGCGUAUACUAAAGUUGUUGCGAUUAAAAAGCUCGUAGUUGGAUCUCAGGCAUGGGCGCGCGGUCCGCCUCGCGGCGGUCACUGCGUGGAAAGGUAACCCAUCCUACGCUUCCCGGUUGUUCAGCCCAUGGUGCUCUUGACUGAGCGUUUUGGGUGGCCGGAACGUUUACUUUGAAGAAAUUAGAGUGUUCAAAGCAGGCACGUCGCCUGAAUAAUGGUGCAUGGAAUAAUGGAAUAGGACCUCGGUUCUAUUUUGCUGGUUUUCGGAACACGAGGUAAUGAUUAAGAGGGACAGACGGGGGCAUCCGUAUUGCGGUGUUAGAGGUGAAAUUCUUGGAUCAUCGCAAGACGAACUACUGCGAAAGCAUUUGCCAAGAAUGUUUUCAUUAGUCAAGAACGAAAGUCAGAGGUUCGAAGACGAUCAGAUACCGUCGUAGUUCUGACCAUAAACGAUGCCAACUAGCGAUCCGCUGGUGUUGCUUCAUCGACUCUGCGGGCAGCUUCCGGGAAACCAAAGUGUUUGGGUUCCGGGGGAAGUAUGGUUGCAAAGCUGAAACUUAAAGGAAUUGACGGAAG